AUUUGGAGAGCAAUCAUUAUUCCAAUAAGGAAAAGAACCCAAAGGAAAUUUUUCUUCCCCCUCCCCUAGCUUUCUUCUUCUCUUGCCCUUGCAAAGUCAUCUCUCAUUGUUGUUCUUCUUCUCCAUGCCGCACCAAGGGGCCGAGAAGGCGUGAGUGGCGUGGCAAGGAUGCCACAGGACUGCUGGUGAUGCGGUAAGAGGGUCGGCUGGCCUAAGCCAGGGGCUUGGGUUGGCUCGGGCCGGAAGGAUCGGCAUGCUGGGGCGCGAGGAGGCCGGCUUGGGUCGGGUCUUCAAGGCUGCUGAGCACGGGCCCUUGCAGGCGAGAGGAGCGAGGGAGAGAAGGAGAGGCCGGCUCGGGCCAGGCCUCCCGCUAGCAUGCUGGGCUGAGGGCCUUGGGAGGAAACUUUGUGAACUAAUUAAUUAUUUAGGGCUUAACUCAAUAGACACAUUAGGCACAAAGCUAAGCACUGGUCUAAAUUAUUUACUAGCGUAACAUUCAACCACUCAUGCACAACCCAAUGACUGUGUUUCAUCAUGUAACCACAAAAAUACUUUGAAAAUGCAGUUUUCUGUUUAGUAAUGAAA